rnacentral:sRNA from 1 species
UCAGUCAUACAAGAUCAACAGUUACACAAUACAGAUUUGUCAUGUUGUUUUUAGACGAUGUUAACUCAAGAAACUUUGUGGUGGAAUCUUCAGAUCGUCUGCAGAGCUUUGUAACAUCUCAACCACUCUAGUCAUCGAAGGCCGAUUGUUAGGCAGUAGUUGUAUGCACCAUAGACCGAUGAUUAUCAUCUUCCUUACGAGUACAGAGGUGUCAAGUCUUAUCUCAUUAGCUGUGACACAAUAUCCCUCCAAAUGUUCAUAAAUCCAUUGAGGAAAAUAUUUGCUGCUGACAUCUGCACUUGCACUGAUAUUCUUUCUUGCUCCAACCAUCUCAAGGAUCAUCAUCCCAUAACUAUAGACAUCAGACUUGCUGCUUGCAUCUCCAAAUUGCUUUGAAAAUACCUCUGGGGCAAUGUAACCUAUUGUCCCUCUUGCACCAUCAAUAGAGAUGAUACUCUCUUUUUGUUUGCACAAUUUUGCCAAUCCAAAAUCAGAUAUCUUAGGACAAAAAUCUUGGUCUAGUAGAAUAUUGUGGGGUUUAAUGUCAAAAUGAACAAUACGAGUAUUGCACCCUCGAUGCAAAUAUUCAAGUCCCCGAGCAAUCCCAAUUGCAAUAUCAAACAAUUUCUCCCAACUAAGUGAAUCUUCAGUUUCAGAGUUUGGUCUGAAAGCAAAUCUCUCCAGUGAUCCAUUAGGCAUGAACUCAUAAAUCAGAGCCCUUUUUGAUCCCUCAAUACAAUAUCCCAACAAGGUGACAACGUUAACAUGAGAAGUUCUGCUGAUGCUUGCUACCUCAUUCAUGAAUUCUUGGCCAUCAUCCUUGCAAGACUUCAGUAACUUCACUGCAAUUGGCUUGCCAUUUGGCAUCUUGCCCAUGUAAACAGUACCAAAGCCACCUUGGCCGAGCUUGUGACUAAAAGAUUUGGUCAUUGUUUUCACUUCUGAGUAAGAAUAUCUCUUUGG